UACAGGGGUCCCAAGCGUUGUUCGGAUUCACUGGGCGUAAAGGGUGCGCAGGUGGUCGGGUAAGUCUGAUGUGAAAUCCCGUAGCUUAACUGCGGAAUGGCAUUGGAUACUAUUCGGCUAGAGGGUUGGAGGGGGGACUGGAAUUCUCGGUGUAGCAGUGAAAUGCGUAGAUAUCGAGAGGAACACCAGUGGCGAAGGCGAGUCCCUGGACAACUCCUGACGCUGAGGCACGAAAGCUAGGGGAGCAAACAGG
rnacentral:rRNA from 1 species